GAUGAACGCUGGCGGCGUGCCUAAUACAUGCAAGUCGAGCGAACGGACGAGAAGCUUGCUUCUCUGAUGUUAGCGGCGGACGGGUGAGUAACACGUGGAUAACCUACCUAUAAGACUGGGAUAACUUCGGGAAACCGGAGCUAAUACCGGAUGAUAUUUUGAACCGCAUGGUUCAAAAGUGAAAGACGGUCUUGCUGUCACUUAUAGAUGGAUCCGCGCUGCAUUAGCUAGUUGGUAAGGUAACGGCUUACCAAGGCAACGAUGCAUAGCCGACCUGAGAGGGUGAUCGGCCACACUGGAACUGAGACACGGUCCAGACUCCUACGGGAGGCAGCAGUAGGGAAUCUUCCGCAAUGGGCGAAAGCCUGACGGAGCAACGCCGCGUGAGUGAUGAAGGUCUUCGGAUCGUAAAACUCUGUUAUUAGGGAAGAACAUAUGUGUAAGUAACUGUGCACAUCUUGACCGUACCUAAUCAGAAAGCCACGGCUAACUACGUG
rnacentral:rRNA from 1 species